rnacentral:rRNA from 1 species
UCUCCUAAGGCUAAAUACUCUCUAGUGACCGAUAGUGAACCAGUACCGUGAGGGAAAGGUGAAAAGCACCCCGGAAGGGGAGUGAAAUAGAACCUGAAACCGUGUGCUUACAAGUAGUCAGAGCCCGUUAAUGGGUGAUGGCGUGCCUUUUGUAGAAUGAACCGGCGAGUUACGAUUUGAUGCAAGGUUAAGCAGUAAAUGUGGAGCCGUAGCGAAAGCGAGUCUGAAUAGGGCGUUUAGUAUUUGGUCGUAGACCCGAAACCAGGUGAUCUACCCUUGGUCAGGUUGAAGUUCAGGUAACACUGAAUGGAGGACCGAACCGACUUACGUUGAAAAGUGAGCGGAUGAACUGAGGGUAGCGGAGAAAUUCCAAUCGAACCUGGAGAUAGCUGGUUCUCUCCGAAAUAGCUUUAGGGCUAGCCUCAAGUGAUGAUUAUUGGAGGUAGAGCACUGUUUGGACGAGGGGCCCCUCUCGGGUUACCGAAUUCAGACAAACUCCGAAUGCCAAUUAAUUUAACUUGGGAGU